UACGAAGGGGGCUAGCGUUGUUCGGAAUUACUGGGCGUAAAGCGUGCGCAGGCGGCCAUCCAAGUCAGUGGUGAAAGCCCGGAGCUCAACUCCGGAAUUGCCAUUGAAACUGUUCGGCUCGAGUACGAGAGAGGUGAGUGGAAUUCCCAGUGUAGAGGUGAAAUUCGUAGAUAUUCGGAAGAACACCAGUGGCGAAGGCGACUUACUGGACACAUAUUGACGCUGAGGUGCGAAAGCGUGGGGAGCAAACAGG
rnacentral:rRNA from 1 species